rfam:Myotis davidii contig126457, whole genome shotgun sequence.
GGCAGUUCUUGGGUGAUGUGCCCCAGAAUUGGGCUCCCUCCUCUCUAGUUCUGGCUGCAUCACCGAGAACUGCA